GUUUCCACUAGCAAGGGUGACAGUAGGAUUUUUUUUUUUUCUUUGUUCCCUAUCACAGGUGGAAUUAAUACCACUGAGCAGCAUUUAGUGAUUUGUGGAUUCCUCUUUUUAAACUUAUAACUAUCACCUCCUGAUCAUGGAUUGUUUCUUUGUUUAAGGGCUGAUGACACGCUUCCUCAGUACCAUAUAACGUAAAUGAAAGAGGGAGAAAUGGAAAAGCAGGCAGCUCUUCAGUUAAAUAGAAGAUGGUGGUGCUGGGCUUCCUGGUGCUCAGGACACAGAGAGUAUUCUCUAUGCAGCAGAUCCUAACUGGUGGAGCCAAUUUAACAGGUAAAGGGAUAUGGUUGCACUUGUUGACUUGUCAUACCCUUGCAAGAAUCACGUUUAUUUCUUAGAGCUGGUGAGUUCACUGCUGCUAGUAACAUUUCAGCUUAUUUUCUUGGAGGGAGCUGCCCAGAAAAGCUGCUGUAGUAAAUCUUCUAACAUCAUCACCUUGUGAACAUGGCUUUUUAAUUCUCUUGAACUAGCCUUAGAUGGGAAGACAGCAGCUGGUGACACUGUGUACCAAACGAUGGCACCAACAGCUGAGUAGGUGGCAAGCUGCUGGCAAGGACAGCUCACCUUUAAGACUGGUAUUCAUACUUUGAGAUUCUAGGUCGAUGCAAGAGCUGUCGGAAGCCCAGUGUGUUUACAAGCUUUGUGCAGCUGCUUGGAGGCUGUUACUGUAAGCUGAGAAAUCUGAUUGUAUUCUGAAUUUGGGCAUGGUGAUAUAUUACAGGAAAAUUGCUCUGUCUAGGGAAGAUUAAUAGAGGAGCUGCUGCUUUUUGUAUGGCCUUGCACAAAUUUUCAACAUAGAAAUUUGGGAUCAGCAUAGAUUUUUUUUUUUCACGUGUAACAAUCCUUACAAUCUUGCCAUGUUGUCACCUGCGGAUGAAACCUUCAAAUGCCACUUUAGCAAUAAAAACAACAGUACUGAGACUUUAUGGUGUCUUCACUUAAACAUUAUUAUUCAUUCCAGAAAGUCAAAACACUGUUGUUAAAAUCCUUUGAGUGUCUUUUUUAAGUGUCAGUGUUUGAUGGAGAUUGUGUUCACCACAAUGCAAUAGGAUCAGUAAUCUCGUUCCACGAUUUCUGUAUGUUUUCCAAAAUGCUUGGGUUUGCAGAUCUACAGGUUUCUUUCAAGGUUUUUUGUUGCCCAGUCUUACUGCUCUUGGACUAAUUCAAUGUUGCCCUCUUAGCAUAAUAAGAAAUAUGUAAAAUGUUGAGAGCUUUCCUACUAGGUAUAAGAGCCAGAUCUCGUUCCAACCCCUGCAAGUUGGCAGACAACUGAAAAGUUUUCCUCUUUGAAGGAUCUAUCUUCUGGCAACUCUUACACCCAUGUAUCUACACUAUUACAGAAUAAAAGCUAUGUUAAAACAAAAAAAUCUUCAGAUUACCAUAGGAAAGUCAUCUAUGUGUCUGACAACUAAGGGAAAAUAUUAUCUGUGCAGUGGGCCACCUAAUACGCUGUGAAUACAGUGUAUAGCUUUAAGUCAUCACAGGAACAAGUCAAAUGAGAAUCCUAAGUCUCUUUCUUUUUUUGUGAAUUUAUACGUAAUUACAAAAAAAAAAAAAAUGCAGCCUUUAAUGCCACCCAGAAAAAACCCUCCAACCCUUGCAGCAAAGAAUUUAAUUUACAAGGUUUUAACUGCUUGCUAUGUUAAAGCAAUAGCUAAGGAACACAGAAUGAAGAUGGGAAUGGUAAGAUGGCAAUAUUGAAGUUUAUUUAAAUAAAAACAAGAUUUUGAUUAGUUGAGCAACUGGUGGAAGCCAAGUUUACCAUUUCUGUGACUGUCAAAACAAUUACUGACAUUCUCCUGGUCUAUUAAAAACUGGACUAUGCUUAAUCUGGAUUCCAGUAUCCAGUACUAUCAAACUACAUUGAUUAUGCUCCUUGUUACAAGUUUCAGAAAACAAAAAUAGGAAUUCUGAGGGCUGUGUCUAGUCUCUGUACCCAUUGCCAAUAACCUAGCGAGCCAGUUCUCCAGCCACAAUAUUCAUAUUGAAAGAGCUUUACUAGUAUUUUUUCAUAGCUUAUUGUUUACAGUCUUAAUUCUAGCUUUUUCUUCUGAUCCCCAGUCUUCUGUUGGAACUUCUUAUAUUGUACCCUGUGGCCUUUACCUCUACAGAAAUUACAGGAAAAAUAAACAAGGGAUCAGAAAAAGAUGUUAAGAAUGGGA